rnacentral:lncRNA from 1 species
AAAGUCAAAGGUGAUAUUACCCAUAGAGUACAAAAAGAAUUCAGAAGUGAAGGAAGAUCGCGCACCAUCACCACCUCCAGCUGGUUCGAUUUGGUUCGGGAGAUUUGUCCAACUCUAGUUUAGACUGCCUUUAUAACAUCUGAAUUCUGAUCCAUCUCACAAAUUUACUGGGGAACGACCAUUCAUCAAUAUAUCUAGUCACAUAUAUUUAUUAUGAGAAUGUAGCUCAAACAAACAUUCUCGAGAUAUUAUUCAUAUUACUCAUUAUUUUUAUGGUUUUAUGACAUGUACUGAAUCAAGAAUGUUGAUGUAAAGUCAAAGGUGAUAUUACCCAUAGAGUACAAAAAGAAUUCAGAAGUGAAGGAAGAUCGCGCACCAUCACCACCUCCAGCUGAACCAGAACUGAAGCCAGAACCAGAACCAGUUAAAGUGGGAGCACUUGUUACAGAACCACCUGAUCUGCUGGUAAUUUUUAGAAUAUUGACAGGUUCAUGAUAUUGAGCUUUUCUUUGUUUUGGUAACUUUAUGCUUUGAACAAUUUUUGAGCUUCUC